rnacentral:rRNA from 1 species
AGAGUUUGAUCCUGGCUCAGGAUGAACGCUGGCGGCGUGCUUAACACAUGCAAGUCGAACGAACCUUCGGGUUAGUGGCGGACGGGUGAGUAACGCGUGAGAAUCUGCCCUCAGGAGGGGGAUAACGGUUGGAAACGACCGCUAAUACCCCAUAUGCCUAUUGGUGAAAUGAAUUUCGCCUGAGGAUGAGCUCGCGUCUGAUUAGCUUGUUGGUGAGGUAAUGGCUCACCAAGGCUUCGAUCAGUAGCUGGUCUGAGAGGAUGAUCAGCCACACUGGGACUGAGACACGGCCCAGACUCCUACGGGAGGCAGCAGUGGGGAAUUUUCCGCAAUGGGCGAAAGCCUGACGGAGCAACGCCGCGUGAGGGACGAAGGCCUCUGGGCUGUAAACCUCUUUUCUCAAGGAAGAAGAUAUGACGGUACUUGAGGAAUAAGCCACGGCUAAUUCCGUGCCAGCAGCCGCGGUAAUACGGGAGUGGCAAGCGUUAUCCGGAAUUAUUGGGCGUAAAGCGUCCGCAGGCGGCUUUUCAAGUCUGCUGUUAAAACGUGGAGCUUAACUCCAUCAUGGCAGUGGAAACUGAAAGGCUUGAGUAUGGUAGGGGCAGAGGGAAUUCCCGGUGUAGCGGUGAAAUGCGUAGAUAUCGGGAAGAACACCAGUGGCGAAGGCGCUCUGCUGGGCCAUUACUGACGCUCAUGGACGAAAGCCAGGGGAGCGAAAGGGAUUAGAUACCCCUGUAGUCCUGGCCGUAAACGAUGAACACU